rnacentral:rRNA from 1 species
GAUGAACGCUGGCGGCGUGCCUAACACAUGCAAGUCGAGCGAAGCACUUACUUUAGAUUUCUUCGGAAUGACGAAGUUUGUGACUGAGCGGCGGACGGGUGAGUAACGCGUGGGCAACCUGCCCUGUACAGGGGGAUAACAGUUAGAAAUGACUGCUAAUACCGCAUAAGCCCACAGCUUCGCAUGAAGCAGUGGGAAAAACUCCGGUGGUACAGGAUGGGCCCGCGUCUGAUUAGCUAGUUGGUAAGGUAACGGCUUACCAAGGCGACGAUCAGUAGCCGACCUGAGAGGGUGACCGGCCACAUUGGGACUGAGACACGGCCCAAACUCCUACGGGAGGCAGCAGUGGGGAAUAUUGCACAAGGGGGGAAACCCUGAUGCAGCGACGCCGCGUGAGCGAUGAAGUAUUUCGGUAUGUAAAGCUCUAUCAGCAGGGAAGAAAGUGACGGUACCUGACUAAGAAGCCCCGGCUAACUACGUG